CCAGAAGCAGGGGAUAACACUUGGAAACAGGUGCUAAUACCGUAUAACAACAAAAUCCGCAUGGAUUUUGUUUGAAAGGUGGCUUCGGCUAUCACUUCUGGAUGAUCCCGCGGCGUAUUAGUUAGUUGGUGAGGUAAAGGCCCACCAAGACGAUGAUACGUAGCCGACCUGAGAGGGUAAUCGGCCACAUUGGGACUGAGACACGGCCCAAACUCCUACGGGAGGCAGCAGUAGGGAAUCUUCCACAAUGGACGAAAGUCUGAUGGAGCAAUGCCGCGUGAGUGAAGAAGGGUUUCGGCUCGUAAAACUCUGUUGUUAAAGAAGAACACCUUUGAGAGUAACUGUUCAAGGGUUGACGGUAUUUAACCAGAAAGCCACGGCUAACUACGUGCCAGCAGCCGCGGUAAUACGUAGGUG
rnacentral:rRNA from 1 species